rfam:Schistosoma haematobium scaffold1173_1, whole genome shotgun sequence.
GCAGUGCUGAAGAGUCCCACAAUAGGACGAAACGGUCGUCCAGUGC